AAAUAAAAAAAGAUGGGAUUAUUAUAAUGAAAGUGUAUGCUGACAUUAUAAUAAUCUUGUCUAUGUUCUAAAUACAAAAUACCUUCACGAGGUUUAGAAUGAGUGAUAUAAGGAAGUUAUAUUAGCUAAAUUAUUGUUUGAUGGAUGAGUUGAUUGAUUAUAAAAAGCUUGUGUAGUUAGGUGUAGAGAAGAAUAUCUAGGUAUGUUUAUGUUAGAAACGUUUUUAUUUUUUUAGCUGUUUAUAUCAAGGAUAUGUACAUGUAACAACAUACUUCUCUUAUCA
rnacentral:misc_RNA from 1 species